rnacentral:rRNA from 1 species
UGCGCAGGCGGGCUCGCAAGUGCUUUGUGAAAUCCCACGGCUCAACCGUGGAAUUGCUUGGCAUACUGCGGGUCUUGAGGUCGGUAGAGGUUGCCGGAACUCUAGGUGGAGCGGUGAAAUGCGUAGAUAUCUAGAGGAACGCCAAAGGCGAAGGCAGGCAACUGGGCCGAUUCUGACGCUCAGGCACGAAAGCGUGGGGAGCGAACGGGAUUAGAUACCCCGGUAGUCCACGCCCUAAACUAUGUGCACUGGAUCCAGGAGGCUCUGACGCCAUCUGGGUCGUAGUAAAAACAUUAAGUGCACCGCCUGGGGAGUACGGUCGCAAGGCUAAA